UACGGAGGGUGCAAGCGUUAUCCGGAUUCACUGGGUUUAAAGGGUGCGUAGGCGGCUUAAUAGUCAUUGGUGAAAGCUCGCAGCUCAACUGCGAAACUGCCAUUGAAACUGUUAGCUUGAAUGUGGUUGAAGUGGGCGGAAGUACAACAUGUAGCGGUGGAAAUGACUUAGAUAUGUUUAUGAACACCGAUUGCGAAGGCAGCUCACUAAGCCAAUAUUGACGCUGAGGCACGAAAGCGUGGGUAGCAAACAGG
rnacentral:rRNA from 1 species